AUGAGCAUUAAAAACGACAACAUUUUCCUUGCACCCCGUGACACAAUGUGUAGAAUUGCAGGAGAGAAGCUUUUAAACCUGCUAAAUUCUCUCUACCAACAAGCGGGGUGUCAAACAGUUUGUGUCAUGAACAGUGCUUGUGCCCAUAGGGGGGGGGGGGACGUUUGGGAACCCCUGAUCUAUAACCAACAACAGAACACAAGGACAAUUUAUUAUUAUUGCAAAUAAAAUAUGUGAAAGUCGAUGCCAAACCCCCGGAUAGGACAACUGAGGUAUUUCAGAUUAGACUCACACACACACACACAGGGACACGCGCAAGUGCGCUCACACACACACACACACCCUGCCAUCUUGCUAUAGACAGAUCUAUAAAUUCAAGCCCCUGGAUGGAUGGGUUCUAACCAUUACUGUUCAUAACAGUUUAUUCCAUAGGACUCUGGAUGGAUGGGUUCUAACCGUUACUGUUCAUAACUGUUUAUUCCAUAGGACUCUGGAUGGAUGGGUUCUAACCGUUACUGUUCACUCCAUAGGACUCUGGAUGGAUGGGUUCUAACCGUUAACUGUUCAUAACAGUUUAUUCCAUAGGACUCUGGAUGGAUGGGUUCUAACCGUUACUGUUCAUAACUGUUUAUUCCAUAGGACUCUGGAUGGAUGGGUUCUAACCGUUACUGUUCAUAACUGUUUAUUCCAUAGUACUCUGGAUGGAUGGGUUCUAACCGUUACUGUUUAUUCCAUAGGACUCUGAAUGAAUGGGUUCUGUUUGGGUGAAGAGACCGUAUUCAUUAAGACUCCCAGAGUAGGAGUGCUGUUCUCGGAUCAACUUUGUUAAGACUAUAAUGAAUGGACUGUGGGGGGGGGGGACGGGACCUGAUCCUAGAUGAGUACUCCUCCUCUGGGACACAUUAUGUAAUACAGGCAACCUGAAUCUCAACAGUAUGUCUUUUAACCCUUAAACUAUAGGACAACAUAAUGCCAUGGUAGGGACAGACAGAUACCCACUGUGGAAGUACAACAUAGUAUUAAUUAAUAUAUGUUGUGCUUUUACAUAUGAAUAAAAAAAAAAACAACAACAACAAUUCGUUAUCACCGUCAUCACGUGCUGUGACUUCCGAUGACUCGUGCUGAACCAGGAACUAGGAAAUAUCCCCUCUUCACAUGUAAAACGUCUGGUUAACUACGUGUUACAGUUUUGUCGGCAAUACGCAGCCCAGUGGACCAACCAGGAUAGGGUGUAACAUAUGCCCGUAGAGUCUCGUAAAUGUGGUGAUGCCUGAAGGAUGUUGUGUGUAUACAUAUAUAUAUAUAUAUAUAUAUAUAUAUAUAUAUAUAUCGACGAUCUAUCAACCCGUUUUAAAACCAACCAGCCCUUCAAUGUCAGAUCGAUUGAGACAAUCAUGACAAUACGACAGAUCAUUUUCCCUUGAUAUGAUGUCGGUCCAACCCUCGACCAACCGACGCUUGGCGUUCGGCCCCUCCCCCCCACCACCGCCGCCACCUAAUGUCCGUGCACUUAAAGUAACUUACCAAAGUGACAAACGGUUUCCAUAAGAAAAAAA
rnacentral:lncRNA from 13 species